rnacentral:tRNA from 1 species
AUUUCUUUAGUAUAGUAUGUACGAGUGUCUUCCAAACAUUUAGCCCCAUAGGGAAGAAAUA